GACGAACGCUGGCGGCGUGCUUAACACAUGCAAGUCGAGCGGUAAGGCCCUUUCGGGGGUACACGAGCGGCGAACGGGUGAGUAACACGUGGGUGACCUGCCCUCAGCUCUGGGAUAAGCCUGGGAAACCGGGUCUAAUACUGGAUAUGACUCCAUGACGCAUGUUGUGGGGUGGAAAGCCUUGUGCGGCUGAGGAUGGGCCCGCGGCCUAUCAGCUUGUUGGUGGGGUGANGGCCUACCAAGGCGACGACGGGUAGCCGGCCUGAGAGGGCGACCGGCCACACUGGGACUGAGACACGGCCCAGACUCCGUACGGGAGGCAGCAGGUGGGGAAUCUUGCGACAAGUGGGACGAAAGCCUGACGCAGCGACGCCGCGUGA
rnacentral:rRNA from 1 species